CAUGUGCCUAUGCACAAAUUUAGAGUUGACAGCUCCUUCCCUCACAGGUCGUAGGAUUCAAGGACUACUCUGUCAGGUGGUGGAGGGCUGAUGGUGUAUUUAUAAUUCGGUGCUGCCUGGGACUGAUGGGAAUCUGUCAUCUGUCAGGCGACUCUGGAAGCUGUUCAGCUAGAGCUAUGUGUUUCUGAUGGAAGCCCUUGUCCUCUCCGAACAAGCAGCUGAACAAUGAGUGAGAACAAUAUGAAAAGUGGAGACCAAAAAGUCAUGCCAAAACAACCACAUGGCCACCUCAUCAUCACAAGCCNAUUUUGUAUCUGGAACAAGCAAGAAGAAUUUAUGAGUCUUCUCCCACAUAAUACGCUUUUCCGUCAUUGCCAUUGCAGUGUGGAAUUUGAUGGUUUGAAUGUUUGAAUANCUGUUGGGUGCUGCCUAUGAAAUCAACCCCCCCUUAACAAGAUNUGUCCCUAUGAAUAAAC
rnacentral:lncRNA from 1 species